rnacentral:rRNA from 1 species
CGGAGGAUCCAAGCGUUAUCCGGAAUCAUUGGGUUUAAAGGGUCCGUAGGCGGUUUAGUAAGUCAGUGGUGAAAGCCCAUCGCUCAACGAUCAAACGGCCGUUGAUACUGAUAGACUUGAAUUAUUGGGAAGUAACUAGAAUAUGUAGUGUAGCGGUGAAAUGCUUAGAUAUUACAUGGAAUACCAAUUGCGAAGGCAGGUUACUACCAAUGGAUUGACGCUGAUGGACGAAAGCGUGGGGAGCGAACAGGAUUAGAUACCCUGGUAGUCCACGCCGUAAACGAUGGAUACUAGCUGUUCGGAGCAAUCUGAGUGGCUAAGCGAAAGUGAUAAGUAUCCCACCUGGGGAGUACGUUCGCAAGAAUG